CAGUAGCCACGGGAAUACGGAGGGUGCAAGCGUUAUCCGGAUUUAUUGGGUUUAAAGGGUCCGUAGGCGGAUCUGUAAGUCAGUGGUGAAAUCUCACAGCUUAACUGUGAAACUGCCAUUGAUACUGCAGGUCUUGAGUAAAUUUGAAGUGGCUGGAAUAAGUAGUGUAGCGGUGAAAUGCAUAGAUAUUACUUAGAACACCAAUUGCGAAGGCAGGUCACUAAGAUUUAACUGACGCUGAUGGACGAAAGCGUGGGGAGCGAACAGGAUUAGAUACCCCCGUAGUCCCUGUCUCUUAUAC
rnacentral:rRNA from 1 species